rnacentral:other from 1 species
AUGCGACUGCUGGGUGCGUCAGACAAAGUUAUCCCUGCGGCCAAUGUGUAUCUCUGGGGUUCUGUCUCUGAUCAGAUCGUGGUCUGAUUAUAUGGAGCCCACCUGCUUAGCAGGCCACAGAGGAUACGUAUUGUCAACGGCCAGGGCGGUCGCAGC